AUACGGAGGGUGCAAGCGUUGUCCGGAUUUAUUGGGUUUAAAGGGUGCGUCGGUGGCGUGUUAAGUCAGUGGUGAAAGCCUGCAGCUCAACUGUAGAGGUGCCAUUGAUACUGACAUGCUUGAGUAUGGACGAGGUAGGCGGAAUUUGUGGUGUAGCGGUGAAAUGCAUAGAUACCACAAAGAACACCGAUAGCGAAGGCAGCUUACUGGACCAUAACUGACACUGAGGCACGAAAGCGUGGGGAGCGAACAGGAUUAGAAACCCCAGUAGUCC
rnacentral:rRNA from 1 species